GGUGAGAGAGUAUGGACCAAUCAGGGAGCACGUCUGACUGCUGGCGAGGUAGUCAGAGACCUCCAGGCUCGAAUCCGCGAGGAAGCUGAAGUGUCUCCUUGACGACCAGGGGCUGGGUAUUCACGUGCAUGGUAUUGGUGGAUCUCCUCAUCCUGCCAUUGAUCAUGAACUUUCCUCUUUUCUUUCUUGCUUUAAAAGGAACACUUAUACAACCUAUUCUUGUUUGGCCAGGGUAGGCCGUCAUUGUAAAUAAGAAUUUGUUCUUAACUGACUUGCCUAGUUAAAUAAAAGGUAAAGAAUAUAUUUGGAAAAAAUGAAGUUAAAAUAUACACCAUGUGCUUGGUGGCUAGGCUACUGAGAUGUUUCCUACAAUAAACCCAACAGUCAGAAUAAAAUAUAAUCAUGAUAUUCUAAAAUAAUAAUAAUAUUCAAUAUGUUGGAAGAAUAGGCUAACUUUAUUUUUCCUAAAGGGGACUUUAGGAAUUUCCUAAAGGGGACAUAUCUGGGAGAUUUUGUUGGUAAAAAUUGCUUCCAAAUUCAGUCAAAACUGAGUCCUUAUUUAGGCCUUGGUCAAAGAGCAAUAUAUAUUUAUUGGUCCUAUCUCACCAAGCAAGUGUUCAAUGUCCUGACCCAACCAACAACUUUGUUUCCCAAGUAAAGUACUCAAGCAACCGGUGCAUAAAAUAUUUCAUAGCUUGAAGUUUUCCUUGUAUGUUGGGACAGUGUUCUGACUGCAUGGUGCAUUUUAAGAUUACCGUUUAAGAAUGCAUGUCUUUGAAAAUUAUUCUAUCGUAUGGCUUGCUUGCUGUGGGGUUGCCAUUGCUCUCACAAUGGGAAAUAGUAACAUACUGUAACACUGUAAGUGAACCCAGUGUACUUGAUCAUCAUUUUCUCUGAAACCAAACCAGUGACAGUUUACCAGGUGGUGUCACUCAUAUGCUUUACCGCAAUGAGAGAGCUAGGUUUUUGUAGUUAAAGAAAAGCUCUGAUUGAUCAUGUUAAAACUAAAACCAAUAAAACUUGACACCUUUCAUUAAAUGUUGGUUGCACAUAACAAUAAGUCUUAGGUUUUUAGAUGUUAGUGAGUUAAAUUGUAGUUACAUCUUUGUUUUUAUGUUUGUCUGAUUGGAUCUUUUCCUACUUUUUCAAGGAUGCAUAUUUGUCCUCUUUAAUGUUUACAAAUUUAUCAAAGAAUAAUCAACGAGUAACGACCCUCCCUUUAAUGUUCAUAUUGUUUAAAUAUCUAUAUGUAACAGGGUUAGAAAAUGUCCCUGUUCAGUGGCUUCCUCACAAAAUGUAUUGUUUUUCAUAUUUUUCAUGUGGUAAGAGUGACCUCAAUUGGUAUAAUGUGAUACUGCAGUUCUUUGGUGACAUCCUGGUUUUUGCAAUCUCCAGGGCCCGUUUUUCCAAAGGUACCUGCAGGACUUCCCAAAUAGGAUAGGAUUAAAUGUUAGAAUUGUGAUUUUCAAAACUGAAAAAUGUGAUUACGAUUCUCUGGAUAGGAAUAAGGAUUUGGUCACCCAAUCUCACCUUUAAAUCAGGAUUAAAUAUUGUUUUUGCUUUUUUCAAAACUUUAAAAAGGUUGUGAUUAGGAUAGUUUUGAUCCCAAAGAUCUGGAUUAUCUCGAACCCACUGGAAGGGUGGAGUCAGAGUGGCACUACAACCUAGACAUUUCUAUGUAAUGAAAGUGAGCAUCUGAAAACCAAAGGUUCAUUAUAUUCAAUUGACUGCCGUAUAGGUAUGUGGUAAAUUGUUAUUGAAAAGUGUCAAAUACUUAUAAGUGAUAUGCAGGCUCUAUUAUUUUUAAUCAAGGUAUCUUUAUUCAUGUACAGUAGUUUACUCAUCUGUUUCCCUUUGACAGUGUAGCAGUAGUACCACAGCCUGUCCAGUAGAUGGCAAGUAGGCUGUUCAAAGCACUGAAAAUCCUGACUGUGAUAUCCGGAUCAGAAUGAUCCUAACCGAUUAUUUUCUUAAAAACCGUCUCAAACACAGCCAGAUUGAUCUGAUCCUGGAUAGCAAAGAAGAGGAUUACAGAAUCCGCAUAAUUCUGAUCCAGAUACAAAGUUUUGAAAAACGAAAUGUUGUAACAUAUAUAACUGGGAACUGGGUUCUACAGUUUGCUGUCUCUGGCUCCACACCUACCCCGCCCGGCCAUCUAGAUGUGUGAAGGUUAGUGUCUUUUCUGUUGGGAAGCUAAUGAUCCAUCAUGUAUGACAUUCCUGGGAGUGUGUAAACUUACAUUUUUAUUACCAUAGCAUUUUUGUAUGUUCUCUAUAGUUAUGUACUUGAACAUGUAUAAAUUGACCAAUUCGGCACAUUUGGACAAACUCCCGGCAGGCUUGAUACAAAAUAUUGUGGAGUCACUGGAUCAGUCUGAAACUUUGCACACUCACUGCCAUCUUGUGGACAACAUCUAAAUUACAACUAUAAUCCUAAUCAGUAUCUGGCCUCUCUCUUGCAUUUCAAAUAUGCAAAAAAAUAAAACACGUUUUUUUUUUUUGUAUUAUCUUUUACCAGAUCUAAUGUGUUAUAUUCUCCUACAUUAAUUUCACAUUUCCACAAACUUCAAAGUGUUUCAUUUCAAUUGGUAUCAAUAAUAUGCAUAUCCUUGCUUCACGUCCUGAGCUACAGGCAGUUAGAUUUGGGUAUGUCAUUUUAGGUGGAAAUUGAAAAAAAGGGGUCCGAUCCUUAAGAGGAGUAAGAGUAUAUCUUGCACUAGCCAACAGGUAAACAAUUCUACCAGCUAACAGAACAAAUAAGUUACAGAUGUAACAAGAUAACUAUCUCUAGCAAAGUCUCAGAAGCAAGCAGUAAUUAUAGUAAACAAUCCCAUAAAAUAUAAGCCACCAAUUUACAUUGUAGAUGCACUUCUAGAAUACACACUGAUAACUUUGGUCGGCAGCCAAAUUUGCAUCUUCAUCUAAUAUGGUGUAAUUGUAGACUGAAUAUGGUGUAAUUGUAGACCGCACCCCGGGGCGUUUCUUCUACUACUAAACUACUGGUGAAGAGGGAGAGAGGCCAGUGGAGAUGCCAGCGGAGAUGCAUGAAUUGCGCAAGAAGGGAAAGUUGAACACAGAUGUGUGAAUUACAAGUUAAUUAAUUCGCUGGGCUAUUAAGCCACCAUUUGUAUGCUAGCCUACUACAGUGGAUUUAGGCGAGUCAAUUUUGGAUAAAUAUUUUUUGUCUAUCGCAUGUUUUGUGCCAAUGAAUUAAAGUUGAAUGUCGCCAAAUGCUUUGGUUUAAUUAAAUGUACAAUAAAGAAGUAAAGUGCCUAGGCCUAUUUAAUGAAACCCUGGCUGUUGACGUAGACAACAGAUCGCAAAGCAGGGAAUCACCAUUCCCCACUGAGGUAAUUUUUGGAAAUGGCAAAUUCACUUUCUCAUCCAUAAACGCAUAUCAAGUGUAAGUGCCCUGUCCAGCAGUUCAUAUCAACAGGAUGGGGGGGCUUUUCAUUAGGAGGAACGUCUAACGCGGAUCGCUAAAAUAAUGAUCACAUUUCCUCAGUUUAAAUAUUAGACCUAUGGGGAAACCUGUACAUUUGGCAGCCAAGCAUGAGUGAUCAUUGUAGCUUUUUAUCGUCUAGACAUGUUGAAAUAUCUUCACGCCUAAAAUAACAAAAUCACCAGCCUUCCGUCAUAAGAUUCAAUGAAUGAAAUUUUUUUAUUAGGCUUACAGGGGGCUGUUUAGACAAAUAAGGCACAUGCUUGGAUACUAAUUACAUAACCAACAUCUAGUAAUAAUAUAGCUGUCUCUUUCCCCCUUCAAAUUUUCCUUGUCAAUGAAUUUGAUAGGCAACAUUAUUUCAGCAUUAUGCUGUAAUGUAACCUAGGCCUACUUUCUGAUAGACUACAGGCAAGAUUUGAGGGUGAGCCUAUAGGUUUUGAAUAUGUGUUUAAGAAAGGAGAAAUGUGAUUUGUGUGUGACUGAGGUGCACUGGUGGCUUUGAUUGAUGGGUCUGUGAGGGAACAUUUUACGUUUGUGUGUAUCAGAUUGUACACAGAUCGUAUGUUUAGCAUAAAUGCUGCUUUUCUAAUAACCAAUUCGACUGGGUUCAUGCAAGUGAUUGAUUGAUUGUGCAUGGGAGGAAUUCUCACUAUCAGUAUAAGCAAUCUGGCAGUACGCCCAUAAAAUUGCUUUGAGAACAAAAGGGGGGGUAUCUCAGUUUCAAGAUCUCAGCUUGGAGAGAAGAAGCCUCAUGAGGUAUUGGUCAGUCAUGUGCAGGAACCAAAGUUAAUGAUGAAUAGUGUAAAUCAUGUUUCUAUUACUUUUUUACAAUAGCCGUAUAUAAGAGAACUAACAGGACUGCCCCCAGAGAGCUCCGGACCUCGGCGUUACUCUUGACCCUGAUCUCUCUUUUGACGAACAUAUCAAGACUGUUUCAAGGACAGCUUUUUUCCAUCUACGUAACAUUGCAAAAAUCAGAAAUUUUCUGUCCAAAAAUGAUGCAGAAAAAUUAAUCCAUGCAUUUGUUACUUCUAGGUUAGACUACUGCAAUGCUCUACUUUCCGGCUACCCGGAUAAAGCACUAAAUAAACUUCAGUUAGUGCUAAAUACGGCUGCUAGAAUCCUGACUAGAACCAAGAAAUUUGAUCAUAUUACUCCAGUGCUAGCUUCCCUACACUGGCUUCCUGUUAAGGCAAGGGCUGAUUUCAAGGUUUUACUGUUAACCUAUAAAGCGUUACAUGGGCUUGCUCCUACCUAUCUUUCUGAGUUGGUCCUGCCGUACAUACCAAUACGUACGCUACGGUCACAAGACACAGGCCUCCUAAUUGUCCCUAGAAUUUCUAAGCAAACAGCGGGAGGCAGGGCUUUCUCCUAUAGAUCUCCAUUUUUAUGGAACAGUCUGCCUACCCAUGUGAGAGACGCAGACUCGGUCUCAACCUUUAAGUCUUUACUGAAGACUUAUCUCUUCAGUAGGUCAUAUGAUUGAGUGUAGUCUGGCCCAGGAGUGUGAAGGUGAACGGAAAGGCUCUGGAGCAACGAACCGCCCUUGCUGUCUCUGCCUGGCCGGUUCCCCUCUCUCCACUGGGAUUCUCUGCCUCUAACCCUAUUACAGGGGCUGAGUCACUGGCUUACUGGUGCUCUUUCAUGCUGUCCCUAGGAGGGGUGCGUCACUUGAGUGGGUUGAGUUACUGACGUGAUCUUCCUGUCUGGGUUGGCGCCCCCCCUUGGUUUGUGCUGUGGUGGAGAUCUUUGUUGGCUAUACUCGGCCUUGUCUCAGGAUUGUAAGUUGGUGGUUGAAGAUAUCCCUCUAGUGGUGCGGGGGCUGUGCUUUGGCAAAGUGGGUGGGGUUAUAUCCUUCCUAUUUGGCCCUGUCCGGGGGUAUCUUCGGACGGGGCCACAGUGUCUCCUGACCGCUCCUGUCUCAGCCUCCAGUAUUUAUGCUGCAGUAGUUUAUGUGUCGGGGGGCUAGGGUCAGUUGGUUAUACCUGGUGUACUUCUCCUGUCUUAUCCAGUGUCCUGUGUGAAUUUAAGUAUGCUCUCUCUAAUUCUCUCGUUCUCGCUUUCUUUCUCUCUCUCUGAGAACCUGAGCCCUAGGACCAUACGUCAGGAUUACCGGGCAUGAUGACUCCUUGCUGUCCCCAGUCCGCCUGGCCUUGCUGCUAUUCCAGUUUCAACUGUUCUGCCUGCGUUUACGGAACCCCUACCUGUCCCAGACCUGCUGUUUUCAACUCUUAAUGAUCGGCUAUGAAAAGCCAACUGAGAUUUAUUCCUGAUUAUUAUUUGACCAUGCUUGUCACUUAUGAACAUUUUGAAAAUCUUGGCUCUCUCUAAUUUUCUCCUUCUCUCUUUCUUUCUCUCGGAGGACCUGAGCCCUAGGACCAUACGUCGGGACUACCGGGCGUGGUGACUCCUUGCUGUCCCCAGUCCGCCUGGCCUUGCUGCUAUUCCAGUUUCAACUGUUCUGCCUGCGGUUAUGGAACCGCCACCUGUCCCAGACCUGUUGUUUUUCAACUCUUAAUGAUCGGCUAUGAAAAGCCAACUGAAAAUUAUUCAUGAUUAUUAUUUGACCAUGCUUGUCACUUAUGAACAUUUUUGAACAUCUUGGCAUAGUUCUGUUAUAAUCUCCACCCGGCACAGCCAGAAGAGGACUGGCCACCCCUCAUAGCCUGGUUCCUCUCUAGGUUUCUUCCUAGGUUUUGGCCUUUCUAGGGAGUUUUUCCUAGCCACCGUGCUUCUACACCUGCAUUACUAGCUGUUUGGGGUUUUAGGCUGGGUUUCUGUACAGCACUUCAAGAUAUUAGCUGAUGUACGAAGGGCUAUAUAAAAUAAACAUGAUUGAUUGA